rnacentral:rRNA from 1 species
AUUGAACGCUGGCGGCAGGCCUAACACAUGCAAGUCGAGCGAGCGGCGGACGGGUGAGUAAUGUAUGGGGACUGCCCGAUAGAGGAGGAUAACUACUGGAAACGGUGGCUAAUACCGCAUACUAUCGGAUAACCCAUAUGGGAUUAGCUAGUAGGUGGGGUAAAGGCGCACCUAGGCGACGAUCUCUAGCUGGUCUGACAGGAUGAUAAGCCAAGCUGGGACAGAGACCCGGCCCAGACUCCUACGGAGGCAUGAGUGGGGAAAAUUGCACAAUGGGCGCAAGCCUGAUGCAGCCAUGCCGCGUGUAUGAAGAAGGCCUUAGGGUUGUAAAGUACUUUCAGCGAGGAGGCGUUACCCGCAGAAGAAGCACCGGCUAACUCCGUGCCAGCAGCCGCAGUAAUUC